rnacentral:rRNA from 1 species
GCAAGUCGAACGCGAUUUUUCCGGUUAGCAAUAACUGGAAAAAUUGAGUGGCGAAUGGGUGCGUAACACGUGGGAAUUUAUCCGGAAGUGGGGGAUAGCUUGCCGAAAGGCAAAUUAAUACCGCAUAUGCCCGUAAGGGCAAAGUGGGGGACCGCAAGGCCUCACGCUAUCGGAGGAGCCCGCGCCCUAUCAGCUAGUUGGUGAGGUAAUGGCUCACCAAGGCUUAGACGGGUAGCUGGUCUGAGAGGACGACCAGCCACACUGGAACUGAGACACGGUCCAGACACCUACGGGUGGCAGCAGUCGAGGAUUUUUCUCAAUGGGGGCAACCCUGAAGGAGCGACGCCGCGUGGAGGAUGAAGGGCUUCGGCUCGUAAACUCCUGUCACCGACGAACAAGGCAUUCGGAUUAAUAAAUCGGAUGCUUGAUGGUAGUCGGAGAGGAAGGGGCGGCUAACUCUGUGCCAGCAGCCGCGGUGAUACAGAGGCCCCAAGCGUUGUUCGGAUUUACUGGGCGUAAAGGGUGUGUAGGGGGUCGGGUAAGUUUGACGUGAAAUCCCCGUUGCUCAACAACGGAACUGCGUCGAAUACUGCUCAGCUGGAGGUUCGGAGAUGAGGGCGGAAUUCUCGGUGUAGCGGUGAAAUGCGUAGAUAUCGAGAGGAACGNCGAUGGCGAAAGCAGCCCUCAAGACGAAAUCUGAUCCUGAAACACGAAGGNCAGGGGAGCAAACGGGAUUAGAUACCNCCGGUAGUCCUGGCAGUAAACGGUGCUCAUUAGAUGUAGGCGGAUUCGACCCNCGCCUGUGUCGAACCUAACGGAUUAAAUGAGNCGNCUGGGAAGUACGGUCGCAAGAUUAAAACUCAAAUGAAUUGACGGAAGGGCGAAUU